UUUCCGAAGGGGUAAACCCAGGGUAACCUGGGGACACAAAGCCGCGGGUCCUGAUUGGUGGAUCGGUCAGGAUAGACGGGUUGGCGAG
rfam:Pelobacter propionicus DSM 2379, complete genome.